UGUGUAGGCGGAUUUGUAAGUACCUUGUGAAAUCCCACGGCUCAACCGUGGAACUGCUUGGUAUACUGCUUAUCUUGGGCCAUCUAGGGGCGAGCGGAACAAACGGUGGAGCGGUGAAAUGCGUAGAUAUCGUUUGGAACGCCAAUGGUGAAAACAGCUCGCUGGGGAUGUGCCGACGCUGAGACACGAAAGCCAGGGGAGCGAACGGGAUUAGAUACCCCGGUAGUCCUGGCUGUAAACGAUGUCGACUAGAUCGUAGUGGCUCUGACGCUAUUACGGUCGAAGCAAAAGUGCUAAGUCGACCGCCUGGGAAGUACGGUCGCAAGGCUAAA
rnacentral:rRNA from 1 species